rnacentral:rRNA from 1 species
ACGAUGAUGCCCAGCUUGCUGGGUGGAUUAGUGGCGAACGGGUGAGUAACACGUGAGUAACCUGCCCUUAACUCUGGGAUAAGCCUGGGAAACUGGGUCUAAUACCGGAUAGGAGCGUCCACCGCAUGGUGGGUGUUGGAAAGAUUUAUCGGUUUUGGAUGGACUCGCGGCCUAUCAGCUUGUUGGUGAGGUAAUGGCUCACCAAGGCGACGACGGGUAGCCGGCCUGAGAGGGUGACCGGCCACACUGGGACUGAGACACGGCCCAGACUCCUACGGGAGGCAGCAGUGGGGAAUAUUGCACAAUGGGCGCAAGCCUGAUGCAGCGACGCCGCGUGAGGGAUGACGGCCUUCGGGUUGUAAACCUCUUUCAGUAGGGAAGAAGCGAAAGUGACGGUACCUGCAGAAGAAGCACCGGCUAACUACGUGCCAGCAGCCGCGGUAAUACGUAGGGUGCGAGCGUUAUCCGGAAAUAUUGGGCGUAAAGAGCUCGUAGGCGGUUUGUCGCGUCUGUCGUGAAAGUCCGGGGCUUAACCCCGGAUCUGCGGUGGGUACCGGCCAGACUAGAGUGCAGUAGGGGAGACUGGAAUUCCUGGUGUAGCGGUGGAAUGCGCAGAUAUCAGGAGGAACACCGAUGGCGAAGGCAGGUCUCUGGGCUGUAACUGACGCUGAGGAGCGAAAGCAUGGGGAGCGAACAGGAUUAGAUACCCUGGUAGUCCAUGCCGUAAACGUUGGGCACUAGGUGUGGGGACCAUUCCACGGUUUCCGCGCCGCAGCUAACGCAUUAAGUGCCCCGCCUGGGGAGUACGGCCGCAAGGCUAAAACUCAAAGGAAUUGACGGGGGCCCGCACAAGCGGCGGAGCAUGCGGAUUAAUUCGAUGCAACGCGAAGAACCUUACCAAGGCUUGACAUGUUCUCGAUCGCCGUAGAGAUACGGUUUCCCCUUUGGGGCGGGUUCACAGGUGGUGCAUGGUUGUCGUCAGCUCGUGUCGUGAGAUGUUGGGUUAAGUCCCGCAACGAGCGCAACCCUCGUUCCAUGUUGCCAGCACGUCGUGGUGGGGACUCAUGGGAGACUGCCGGGGUCAACUCGGAGGAAGGUGAGGACGACGUCAAAUCAUCAUGCCCCUUAUGUCUUGGGCUUCACGCAUGCUACAAUGGCCGGUACAAUGGGUUGCGAUACUGUGAGGUGGAGCUAAUCCCAAAAAGCCGGUCUCAGUUCGGAUUGGGGUCUGCAACUCGACCCCAUGAAGUCGGAGUCGCUAGUAAUCGCAGAUCAGCAAC